rnacentral:rRNA from 1 species
GUUGGGAUUGCUAGUAAUGGCAGGUCAGCAUACUGCCGUGAAUACGUUCCCGGGCCUUGUACACACCGCCCGUCACACCAUGAGAGUUGGAGAUACCCGAAGCCUGUGAGCUAACUUUUUAAGAGGCAGCAGUCGAAGGUAGAAUCAAUGAUUGGGGUGAAGUCGUAACAAGGUAGC